UGUACUUCAGGUAGGUAGUGGUGGAGCAGCAUGAUGAGUGCUGAGAUUGUACUUCAGGUAGUGGUGGAGCAGCAUGAUGAGUGCUGAGAUUGUACUUCAG
rnacentral:lncRNA from 1 species